GGGAGAGAUGGAGAUUCGUGCCGUAGGACUCUAACACAAGGUGACAAAUGGAAAAACAGCCACCAGGACCACACCCAGAUGAUGUCACCACCGUGACUACCUUCAGUCCCAAGAUGGAAAAUUAAAUAAUGACGUAUGUGCGCAUGUUUGCCUGACUGCUGCUAUCGGGGAGGGAUCGGGUCGCACUGUACCUGCAUGUUGCCCGGAUCGUCGCCACGAUGUUGUCCCCGGGGCAUCCUGUGAGGCGACGGAGGCAGAAGUUCGACCAGCUGAGCCUGAAAUGACUGGACAGAAUCGAGAAAGAACAGCUGAACAAGCUUUGAACUCUGGUCGUGGCUCAUAAUAAGAUGAAAACGUGUGCUGCGAGAUCGUCUGCUGUUUACUGAAGUUAAAAAUGAGUGAUGACACACAAGCCAGGCGUCCAGAAUUUGUUCGACUGGGGUGAAACCGGUUCCGUCGUCCAGGGUGGAGAAGAGACGCAUCCCGAUGGUGCCGGCCCAGGUGUUCACAGAGAGCGAGCAGCUCAGUGUGACCGGCACAUCCGGCCCACGGGAUCGCCAGCUCGCCGCACGCCUCGCGCAGCCUCUCCUCCAGACAGGCCGACAGGGAGGCGACGGAUCCCCGAGGCGUGCUCGGCUCAUCUGGGUUCCAGAGAUGCAUCUGACCUGCACACGAGGGACCCACUGUUCUCCUGCCCCGUCCCAGCCAACCAAACCGCUCUAUUGUUCGGGAGGCAGCCAGUGAGGGAAUGAAGAACAGAUGGGGAUCCUGCAAGUGGCGUUUUGAUACGUGGUGCAAAGGCAUCCGUGACGAGGUGUGGGGGUGGUGGGGCUCUCAUUGUUCCUCUGUCACAGUGCUACACCCUCCUCCU